AUGGCGUCCAAGGCCGUGGCGGCGCUCGCGGUGACGGACGAGCUGGCCCUGCCGCUCCGUGCGGUGGGGGACCUGGCGGCGACCGCCGGCGUCUCGCGGGAGGAGGUCGUCGUCAUCACGCAGUGCACCUCGCUCGGUAACACCCCCUCCCAAGCCCCCCUGUCUCCCAACCCCAAGCUGAUGAUGAGGAGCCAGUUCUCCUGGGAUCGAACAAUAUGGAUACAGGUUUGUGGUAUCCAUUGUAAGAGUAUGCAUACCCAAGUCAAGCUUGUGGUCACACGGUUGGUGUACCCUUUAUUUAAGCUUCUGGGUUUCUUAUCUUCAGAAAGCCCAGCCCCAGCAGCAGCGGCUAUGCCGGCGAGCAGGGCAGCAGCAUUGCCUCCAGCGCCAGCAUCGAGGAGCCUUACCCCGCCCCCGCGCCAUGGACUCGUGCGCGGCAAGAAGCACGCCAACGAGACCAAGAAGGUGGCCAUGGCUGGGCUCGUUCACCAUUCGUUCAACUUCAGAGCUCAUCAGGUUAAAGGCGCUAAGGUGUUGGAGAUGUGCCUGUACUUGUUGAUUGUUUUAUCUGUAGAGGGCUAUAUUGUGAUUGGUGUAAUAUUGUAUGGUUAUAUUGUGAUUGGUGGAAUGUAA
rnacentral:rRNA from 1 species